GACGAACCGUGCGAACGUUAUUCGGAAUCACUGGGCUUAAAGCGCGUGUAGGCGGAUGGGGACGUCGGUCGCUGAAAUCCCCCGGCUCAACCGGGGAACGGGCGCCGCAAACGCCCCGUCUGGAGGGACGUAGGGGGACCUGGAACUUCCGGUGGAGCGGUGAAAUGCGUUGAGAUCGGAAGGAACGCCCCGUGGCGAAAGCGAGGUCCUGGACGUCUUCUGACGCUGAGA
rnacentral:rRNA from 1 species